rnacentral:rRNA from 1 species
AACUUGAGAGUUUGAUCAUGGCUCAGAACGAACGCUGGCGGCAUGCCUAACACAUGCAAGUCGAACGAUACCUUUCGGGGUAUAGUGGCGCACGGGUGCGUAACGCGUGGGAAUCUGCCCUUGGGUCUGGGAUAACCGUUGGAAACGACGGCUAAUACCGGAUGAUAUCGCGAGAUCAAAGAUUUAUCGCCUGAGGAUGAG